GACGAACCGUGCGAACGUUGUUCGGAAUCACUGGGCUUAAAGCGCGCGUAGGUGGCUUCGUAAGUCCGUUGUGAAAGUCAAAGGCUCAACCUUUGAAAGCCGAUGGAUACUGUGGAGCUAGAGUACGGAAGAGGCGAGUGGAAUUCCUGGUGUAGCGGGUGGAAUGCGCAGAUAUCAGGAGGAACACCAAUAGCGAAGGCAGCUCGCUGGGACGUUACUGACACUGAGGCGCGAAAGCGUGGGGAGCGAACAGG
rnacentral:rRNA from 1 species